rnacentral:rRNA from 1 species
CCUACGGGGUGCAGCAGUAGGGAAUCUUUCACAAUGGGCGAAAGCCUGAUGGAGCAACGCCGCGUGCAGGAUGAAGGCCUUCGGGUUGUAAACUGCUUUUAUAAGCGAGAAAUAUGAUGGUAACUUAUGAAUAAGGAUCGGCUAACUACGUGCCAGCAGCCGCGGUCAUACGUAGGAUCCGAGCAUUAUCCGGAGUGACUGGGUGUAAAGAGUUGCGUAGGUGGCAUAAUAAGUAGCUAGGGAAAUCUGGUGGCUCAAACAUUCAGACUAUUAGCUAAACUGUUAAGCUCGAGACCGUUAGGGGUAACUGGAAUUUCUAGUGUAGGAGUGAAAUCCGUAGAGAUUAGAAGGAACACCAAUAGCGUAGGCAGGUUGCUGGGACGGUUCUGACACUAAGGCACGAAAGCGUAGGGAGCAAACGGGAUUAGAUACCCUGGUAGUC